GGUCGGUUGGUGUAGUUGGUUAUCACGUGGUAUGUUUGCGCUUCAGCACGACGCCUAUAAGCCGUCACUAAUAUUCGUCCCAAAGUCCUUAACAAUCUCCCAUGUUGUACGGACAAGGUCGCCGGUUCGAACCCGGCACUGAUCA